GUGGGGAGCUCGGAGCGAAGGUCGAGCCGUCGGUGAUGAGGAUGAGAAUUGCAGAACUCCUGUCUUGUGCAUUUUGUAACAUUUGCAAACCCUAUUUAGCCAGGGGGCAGUGAUUUGCUUCACGAAGUUGUGUUACCCCCUUCCCUUUUCCUGACAUGGGGCAGAGGAGUAGGGAGAGGACAUGUGGGGCAAGAAAUGAUUGAAUCUGUCACUACAUGAUUUCUUGGAGGCCCGCCUGCUUUCUCCUCUUUAUCUUUUGUACUGGAAGAGCUCUUUGAGGAAGAGGAGGAAGGGGAAAGCAGAGGAGUCAGGAAUGACUCUUUCUCAGGUAUAAUCGUGUUUUCAGUUGAUUCACAGUCUGUCCUUGUGAAAUGCCCUUCUCUGGACUCGUUAAUCUUCCCUGACUCUGAAGUAUCCUGCCUGACAGUUGUACCUUACAGUCACCCGGGUCUUCCCCUCAGUCCCUGUCGUCUCCACUCAGAUUUCACACCCAUGGACUGGAAAUGGGGUGUCAGUGCUCCUGGGCCUCCGGGAUUGUUGAGGGGCCCCAUCCGGAUGCACUGUCUGCUCUCUGUCAACCAGGAUAAAGAAGCUGCACAUGCAAGUCAGGUAUUAAUAUGCACAAUACCUGGUAAAAUCUGGAAAACAGAACAAUAAGGGGGGAUUUUUCUUUUUUUAAUGGCUAAGAAAUUUAUUUAACCAAACAAUGAAAAACCAAUAAAGGGAUCAAAGUCAAGAGUGGUCUGAUCACAAGGACACUUUCCAGUUUUAGUAUAUGUGCUGCCGAAGCGAGCACAACAAGGACACUUUGAGGAAGGAAGAUUAUAGGCUGGCCAAUCUCACCCCUAAAUAUAAAUACAAAAACCUUAAACACAGCAUUAGCACACUGUGUCAUGGGUCUCAAUUAUUUGUCUCCCCAUCCUAUGGGAGAAUUAUACGUCUAAUUCUCUAUGGGCAUCAGGCAUGGUCAAAGGACUUGCUUAAGCCAAUAAAAUGUGAGCAAAAGUGACCCACGCCCUUUUCAAGCCGAAGCUUUAGGAGCCAUUGUGUGGUUCUACCAUGGAUCCUCCUGUGAUAUGAGUAGGGUGUCCUAGAUAAGGACUGCUCUACCCUUUUGGGUUCCAGAAUGAAGAAAAUGUGAAUAUUGCAGACAAAAUUUAACCUGAGCAUGAAAUAAACCCUGUUGCUCCAAAAAAAAAAAGAGCGGUCUGAUCAGAUUUGCGUUUUAGGACAUUAUAUUGGCAGCAGAGUUACCUGAUUUCACUUAUCUUAUUGCCUGAAAGAGGCGAUGGACAUCAUGUAGAUAGGGAUAUGUUGAAAAGCUGAUCUCUGGUGGCCUCGGCCUACAGAGGCUUGAAGCAGGAUCUCAGCUCCCAGCUGGAGGUUGAAGUCAGGUCGUGGCAGUGAGAGUGCUGAAUCCUAGCCCCUAGACCACGAGGGCCAGCGGCCGUCGACAAGGCCUCUGGCCCGAGUUCGUUCAUAGAAACGAAUGCCCCUAGACCACGAGGGCCAGUGGCCGUCGACAAGGCCUCUGGCCCGAGUUCGUUCAUAGAAACGAAUGCCCCUAGACCACAAGGACCAGUGGCCGUCGACAAGGCCUCUGGCCCGAGUUCGUUCAUAGAAACGAAUGCCCCUAGACCACGAGGGCCAGCGGCCGUCGACAAGGCCUCUGGCCCGAGUUCAUUCAUAGAAACGAAUUUCGACAGACGGAAAGUAGUGAAGCAAGUAAAGUGUUUGUUAGGAGGCAAAAGAGUACGUCUGAAUAGACACACACAGGCAGGCUCAGAGAAAGAGUCGUACCUUUGUGGUAGUUUGAAUCACUUACAUAGGGCAUUUCUUCUGGGUUUCCUCUGGACAGUCAUCUUUCUUUGCCUGGCUCCAAGUCUGUCUUUGGUUUAUCCCAGGGUCCUCUCCUGUGUGUGCACGAGUCUCAGCCAAGGUGGAUUCUAGCGAAGAGGCAUUAAGGGGAAACUUGUUCUGACUUACUCAAAGGCAAUUGAAGCUGAAGGAGCAAGUCACUGACUUAAUCUUAAUGACUGGGAAUGGAAUGGAAAGUUCAGAACCUUACAUCAGUGACAGAGGGUGUUUUCUUCCAUCCUUGAAUUUAAACCGUGAAAUCAACCUUGAUCUCUGACAGUUGGAAAUUCUUUAAAUCACUUUCAUCACCUCCAUUCCUCAGAAGCUGACUUUUUACUUGUGGAUUGUAUCCUUUGAGACAGAAGUUUUUACCUUUAAUGUAGGUAAGGUUCCAGCUUCAUUCUUUUGCUAGUAGGUAUGUAUUUUCUCAGCACCAUUUCUUAUUGAGACUAUGCUACCUUUUGUGUAGUCUUGGCACCCUUGUCUAUGCAUUUUACAUAUAUUCCAAGGAUUAUUUGAGUUUUCUAAUCUGUUCCAUUGGUUUAUGUAUCUGUGUUUAUGCCAGUACCACAUCAUGUUGAUUACUUUGUAAUAUGUUUUAAAAUCUAAAAAUGACUGCCUUCCUCUUCUUUUUCAAGAGUAUUUUGGCUGUUUGCUGCCUCUUGACAUUCCUUGUGAAUUUUAGCAUGAUUUUUUUCUAUUACUGCAAAAAUUGCCUUUGAAAUUUUACAUAGGGAUUCCGUUGAAUCUGUAGAACACUUUGGGUAAUUUGGUCAUUUUGUUCUUUUUUUUUUUUUUGGCUGCUUCACAGGGCUUGCAGGAUCUUAGUUCCCCAGCCAGUGAUUGAACCUGUGCCCCCGGCAGUGGAAGCUCAGAGUCCUAACCACUGGACUGCCAGGGAAUUCCCUAAUUUGGUCAUUUUAAAAAUAUGAAGUUCCCAAUCCAUGAGUACAGGGUGUUUCUAUGUAUCACUAUGCACUUUUUUUUAGAAUGUUUAGUACUUUUCAGUGUACAAGUCUUGCACCUAGUUGGCUGAUUUUUCCUAAGGAUUCUAUAGGAUUGUUCUCUGAUUUUCUGUUGACAUUGUUCAUUGUAUAUGCAGCUGAUUUUCAUGUGCUGAUUUUUUAUGCUGCAACUUUUUUAAAGUUGUUUUUUGAAGUAGUAGUUUUCUCUUGGAAUCUUCUUGCUUUCGAUAUAGAAAACCUUGUCACCUACAAAAAAAAAAGAUAAUUUUACUUCUUUUCCAGUUUGGAUAACUUCAAUGCUUUUUUUGUUUUCCAAUAACUCUAGCUAACUUGUUCAAUAGUUUCUUGAGCAGUAGUGCAGAGAGUGCAUCUUUCUCCUUUGUUGUCGUAAGGAUUUAGCAGUGUGGACUUCCCGUUUAGUAGUACGUCUUUGACUACCUGUUAUAGAUUUGGGCAUGUUGUUUUUAUUUUCAUUCAGAUAUUUUAAAAAUUUCCUUGUAAUUUCUUCUUUGACCCAUUGCUUCUUUAAGAAUGAACUAUUUAAUUUCCACUUUUGGAGCAUUUUCCUGUUUUCAUUCUGAUCUUUAUUUCUGGUAUCAUUUCACUGUGGUUCAAGAAGAUACUUUUUAUGAUCUGAAUCUUCAUAAACUUGUUAAGAUUUGUUUUACUGUCUAGCAUGUGGUCUGUCAUGGAGAAUGUUUCACAUGUGCUUGUGAAGGAUGUGUUUUCUGCUGAUGUUGGGUGGAGUGUUCUGUACAUGUUUGUUAGGUACAGUUGUUCUACAGUGUUGUUCAAGUGCUCUGUUUCCUUAUUGAUCUUUUGGUUUCCAUGCAUUGGUAAAACUCAGGUAUUGACAUCUGAUACUAAUAUUUUGCUGUUAUCUAUUUCCCUUUUUAUUUCUGUUAAGAGCUUCUUCAUUUUGGGGGGAGCUCUGAUGUUAGGUGUAUACAUACUUGUAAUUGUUAUAGCUUCUUGGUAAAUUUACCCUUUUCUCAUUUCAUAAUGUAUUUUGUCUCUUGUGUUAGUUUUUUCCUUAGUUUAUUUUGUCUGAUAUUGUGCAGUCACCCCUGCUCCCUUUAGGACUGAAUAUCUUUUUCCAUCCUUUCACUUUUCGCCUUUCCACAUCCUUAGAUUUGUGAAUGUUCACAGUUCCAGAUCUGACACACUCUCUGUGUGUCUCUUGCUCUUUGUUUUCCCCCUGUUACUUCCUCUAGUGGUCCCUGCUCAGGCACCCUGUACAGUGGUGAAAGGCAGGAGCCCUGGCCAGCCUGCUUCACUCCACUGUAACUUCAGUGGGAAUUAAUCAGGUGUUUCCUUCUGAUCAUGAUGUUUGGUGGAAUAUUCUUGCUUAAUAACAAUAUAUUUUUUUCCAUGUUUUUUUGUCAUGAUUUUUAAUUGUCCAAUAAGUUUUUAAUUUUACUAUCAUGAUAAUUUUAUUAUUAAUCUGUGCAAAUAAUGUAUAAUAGUAAUAACUUUUCCAAUUUUGAGUCAAAGUUUUAUUAGUGGAAAAAAAGAAACUCUUUUGCCUUUGUUAAUACCUAUCUAAGGCUAAAUGGACAAAAUCAUAUUUUUUAAUAUAGUUAUUAUAUUGAGGUUGGAAUUAAAGUAUUCUGCUAUUGUUUCAUGUCUCUACUGUUAUUUUUUAGUAGCC